rnacentral:rRNA from 1 species
AUGUGCUGCUCCUCCUCUCUCUCUCGUUCUGCCGGCAGACGCCCGGGCUUGCUCGCUGGCCUCGCGGGCCUCGGACGCCACCAAGAACGCCUCGCCGAGCAGAAGCAGCUCGACCGCGCCUCCUUUGCGCCGGCCAAGCCACGAGCAGCAGCAGCUCCACCUGCUACUGCUGACGCCAUGCUCGACCUGCCCAAGCCCGACGAUGACACCGCCCUACCGCCGCGCACACCGGUCGCCGCCGCCUCGCCGAGAGGGCUCGCCCUCGUGUGCGCCGACCUGCUGCGCCGCACCUCGCCGAGAGGGCUCGUCCUCGCGUGCGCUCCUCCUACCGGUCGCGGGAACGGCUAG